CGCCAGAGAGGGUGAGAGCCCC
rnacentral:snRNA from 1 species